rnacentral:lncRNA from 1 species
UGCCCGCUCGGGCCCGGGCUGCUGCCCAUUCGGGGACGCGGCGGCCUUUCCCUGCCCCAGAUGUAAAUGGGCCUCGCUGCAUUGAGGUGGAGUGGUUAACUUGGAGCUCUUUGCUGGUUGGGUUAAAUACUUUGGAAAAUUCCUUCUCUUUGAGGUGAAAGGACGGGUGAGGGGAGCCCGAAUGGAGAAAACUUGGCCCUUAGUAUUUUCCCGCCAGCAUCUCUGUCAUAUUUCCCUCGUCAGAUUGGUAAGAGGAAAAGACUGAGUCUGCAUGUAUAUCAUCUCAACCCUUACAACUACACUUAAAACAGUAAUGUCUAUUUAAGAGCCAUUUCCAAGUUAGCUUUUAACUGCUAUGGACAGCUCUCAAACUGGUCAAACAACUUCUAGAUCAGUGGAAAAAAAUAUUCGCAGACCUUUCUGGUUUCAGGAUCACCAAUGAGAAGUAACCCAAAUUACAAUAUCUCAAUCCAGUUUUUCUAAUGAUUAAAAAUAGUAUCACUAAUUUUGCUAGUCCUCAUUUCAACUUUUUUAAGAAAGAUAUUUAACCACGAAUCAAAGAUUUCUGAAAGUUAGUAGACUUCUUUAUUAAAAUAUAAAUUCAGGGUCCAAAGCUUAUUUUUACCUUUUUUCUUCCCUGCCCUUAACUCUUAUGGCUUUCUAGCAUAAUAGGCAGUGCAUAAGUAAGUGAUGAAUAAAGGAAUAUCUCUAUAUACUAGUAGAACCAACUCAGGGCCA